GUGUUCACCUUUUGCGAUUCCUCUCUGUCUUCUUUCGGUGUCUUUAGGUUCUCCGAUUUUUCUCUGCUUUCUUUGUUUCUGCCGAGGGUCUCCAGUAAACACCCUCUCUGCCCUCGGCAGAGUUAACGUCUGCGUACAUAUUACCUCCCAGACCCCACUUGUGGGAUUACACUGGUUGUUGUUGUUGUUGUCUUUGUUUCUGCUUAUGAAAUUGUUGAGAUCUGUUGUUUCUAUCGUCGUCGGAAAAUCAGCGGCUAUGGAACGAGUAUGGACAUACAGUGGAACUUCACGGGAAGCUCAUGUUUGUUUUUUUUACACUUUUCUCCCAGGUGACUCAUAGUAUCUCUUCUGCACUUAGGAUUGCCUUGAAAAGUUACAAAGAGUUACUUUUUGCAGCAGUCUGGCCUACUGUGACGAUUUUCCUCAGCAACCUAUUCUCCAAUUCAUUAUUCUCCAAAUAAUGUUCCUUCCUUAAGGAGAUUCGCAAUAUUCUUUGAUUUUAGCUGUUAUUCAAGAACAAUUGUGGUUGUGCCUACUGCAUUUGCAAUUCCUUUUGUUUCCAUUGGCUGAAAGCAGAUUGUUUUUGUUUUCGUAAAUAUGACAAAUUUUGAGGACUCUGAAUGCAGAGGUGGACCGGUGCCUCAUUUGUUUCUGUUUCUUCACAGUCAUCAAGCCCAUGGCAAACAUCAUUAAUCAUUAUAAACAACUAACUGACUAAGCAUUUCAAAUUAGAAAUAUUGCUAAGAUGACCAACAAAACACAAGUAUUCUCCUUGAGGCCUUAUCUUUACUUGGUGUUUGCGAUCAUUCUCAAAUACAGGAGUUCCUCCUUACACUUGGAGAAUCCAUGAUACUGCUUGUUCAAUAGCGAACGAAUGCAACUGAACAUCAAGAACUCAAUCAAGUAUCUUUGCCAUUGAUUACGUGGGUGCAACUAUUGCCAUCAGAUGUUGGAAGUAGGAUACAAGUAGCUCAUCAAGGUACUUUGGGGUCACGCUCAUGCUUGUACUGAUGAUGUCCUUUGGUCAUUACAAAAAGGAAAAAAAAGGAAUUGUGAUUAAAUCUUGAAGACACUUACUAAAUUAUCUAUUUUGCAUAAGUAGUAAAUUUUCUAUUCAGACUAGCCUGCCACUGAAUCCACAUAGCCAUCAAAGAUGUAAUAUUGCAAAUGCCAAGGGUUAAGUUUGAAGGGAGCAAAGAAGAAAGGAUAUUCAUGGGACGAAGUGUGCCAGGAACUUAACAUAAUAUGAUAUUCAGUGUCUUUAUCUCAUAGAGUGUUGCAACAUUUAGAGGUGGAUUUUCAUUUCUUCUAUUGGGCAUAUGAAAAAAUUGAAUGAAGCAAACAAACCUUAAGCUGAAAUUGGAAACUUGCCUUCUAACACAGUCUACACUUGCAUUCUAAGUUGACUCCUUUAAUCAUCUACUCGGCCUGCCUUUUCAAUAAAAGGAAAAGAGGUGAUUGGCUCAAUAUUGACUCAACUGGUGAUUGGCUUGUUAAGCACUCAAAAUCAAAGAGCUAAGGAUGACAUACUUUUUUUGUUCUAUCAGAUUUUGGAAAAAGCAGAAGACGCUAAGAACUCAACAUGAAUGCACCUUCUAGCACAAAAUAAGGUAAGCUUUUCAUGUUACACAAACAUUCAAGGUCAUAUAAAUCUGUAGAUAUGCAAAAUUGCAUUCUAACAUUGUUUGAGACUCAGUUUUGAAGAAACACAAAAUUAUUGUAGGGAAAGGACAAUGUGUUGGUGCAGGAAUUUGAAUAAAGUAAACUCUAGAUAUUGUUAACUACUUUUUAGUCACUCCACCAAAUUUUGUUUAUGGAUUUUUCAUUCAAAUGCUAACUCACAUCUUUUGAUACCAAUUCAGGAUCUCAACAAACUCUAACCUUAGAUCAACUCCUCCUCCCUUGGUUACUACAACUAUAUAUAAAGUUAAAAAAGAGAGGGGUGGGGGGUGGAGAGAGAGACCACCAAAAAGCAAUAUGAGAAUUCCUCUUCAGCUCGCUAAACGUUGGAGUAUGUCAAAAGAACCUUGCUUCUACUCGCUUCACGCAAGGCAUUAUCUUCCUGAUUCUGUUUUGGAACUGGGUUAAAGAUGAUUUAUAUUCAGGGUAAAAACAACUAAGACAUGCAUUGCAUGAAGCAACAUAAUUAUAAGUUUAUUUGAUGGGUCAUAUGGAGGGAAAAGAACUUGAGAAUAUUUGAAGACAGAGAGGAGAACAUAGUUAGCCUUAAGCAUAAAUGAUCUUUGCUCCCUUUUUUGGUGUAACAUAAGCUAGAAUCAAUGUUAAUGACGUAGACGCCAUGAUAGAUUUUAUUAGUAAUUUUCAUAGUUUGUUAUUGGGUUGUUCAUACCAACUAGCACUUACUUUAUUCUGGUUUUUCUGAUAUAAUACUACUUUACCAUUAUUUAUCAAAAUAAUAAUAGUAUAAAUGGAUUUAUAUUUCCUAUGUAGUGACCUUGUCUGAAUUACUGAGUUUCUUACUUUAAUAUUCAUCUUUCCGUCUUUGUAACGUAGGCUCUGAUACUGGAACAAUAGAAUUAUAAUGCCUUUCAUGCUCUAGCCAGUGUAUCCUCUUCUUAAGUGAAAGGCGCAACAAAAUUGGCCUUUCACAGUAUUUUCAAAAUGGGAUAGGUCUGGGUACUGUCAACGAUGUGCUCUCCCUGCAUUUUCUUUAGCUCAAGCUUUGACAAGUUUGGUAUGGGAUUGGCUUAUGUAGCCAAACAAGUGCAAUGUUGUUCUCUAAUGACGUUUGUAGUGUACUUUAGUAAAUUUAGGCAUUUUAUCUUUACAGUGAGCUAAAGAGAAGAAGGUUGUGAAACAGGUGAAGAUCGAUUGUCUCUAUAUAGCUGCAGCGGAACUCUCCUCCUUCCAAUUUGUACCAUGCAAAUUCUAAUUAUUCAUCUCCUUUCUGCUACAUUAAUUAUUCACCAAGAAUUAUGUGUUGAUUUUCCAUAA